rnacentral:rRNA from 1 species
AUUGAACGCUGGCGGCAGGCCUAACACAUGUAAGUAGAGCGAACGGCGGACGGGUGUGCAAUGUAUGGGGAUCUGCCUGACAGAGGCGGAUAACUACUGUAAAAGGUGGCUAAUACUGCAUACUAUCCGUUGUACACAUUUGGAAUUAGCUAGUAGGUGGGGUAAAGGCUCACCUAGGCGACGAUCUCUAGCGGGUCUGAGAGGGUGAUCGGCCACACUGUGACUGAGAGACGGCCCAGAAUCCUACGGGAGGCAGCAGUAGGGAAUAUUUCACAAGGGGCGCAAGCCUGAUGCAGCCAUGCCGCGUGUGUGAAGAAGGCCUUAGGAUUGUAAAGUUCUUUCAGCAGGGAAGCGUUACCCGAAGAAGAAGCACCGGCUAACGACGUGCCAGCAGCCGCGGUAAUAC